rnacentral:rRNA from 1 species
UACAGAGGGUGCGAGCGUUGUUCGGAAUUAUUGGGCGUAAAGGGCGCGUAGGCGGUGCGGUAAGUCACCUGUGAAAUCUCCUGGCUCAACUGGGAGCUUGCAGGCGAAACUGCCGUGCUGGAGUGUGGGAGAGGUGAGUGGAAUUCCCGGUGUAGUGGUGAAAUGCGUAGAUAUCGGGAGGAACACCAGUGGCGAAGGCGACUUCCUGGCCUGUUCUUGACGCUGAGGCGCGAAAGCUAGGGGAGCAAACGGG